rnacentral:rRNA from 1 species
GACGAACGCUGGCGGCGUGCCUAAUACAUGCAAGUCGAACGCACAGUUUAUACCGUAGCUUGCUACACCAUAAACUGUGAGUUGCGAACGGGUGAGUAACGCGUAGGUAACCUGCCUGGUAGCGGGGGAUAACUAUUGGAAACGAUAGCUAAUACCGCAUAAUAUUGAUUAUUGCAUGAUAAUUGAUUGAAAGAUGCUAUUGCAUCACUACCAGAUGGACCUGCGUUGUAUUAGCUAGUAGGUGAGGUAACGGCUCACCUAGGCGACGAUACAUAGCCGACCUGAGAGGGUGAUCGGCCACACUGGGACUGAGACACGGCCCAGACUCCUACGGGAGGCAGCAGUAGGGAAUCUUCGGCAAUGGACGAAAGUCUGGCCGAGCAACGCCGCGUGAGUGAAGAAGGUUUUCGGAUCGUAAAGCUCUGUUGUAAGAGAAGAACGGGUGUGAGAGUGGAAAGUUCACACUGUGACGGUAUCUUACCAGAAAGGGACGGCUAACUACGU